UACGGAGGGUGCAAACGUUGCUCGGAAUCAUUGGGCGUAAAGCGCACGUAGGCGGCUCGUUAAGUCGGAUGUGAAAUCCCUGGGCUCAACCCAGGAAGUGCAUUCGAAACUGGCGAGCUUGAAUAUGGAAGAGGGUCGCGGAAUUCCCGGUGUAGAGGUGAAAUUCGUAGAUAUCGGGAGGAACACCAGUGGCGAAGGCGGCGCCUGGGCCAAUAUUGACGGCUGAGGUGCGAAAGCGUGGGGGAGCAAACAGG
rnacentral:rRNA from 1 species